rnacentral:lncRNA from 1 species
GGAGCUACAGAAACUGGAUUUUGGGUCGGAUAAGACAAACUUCUUCACAGACAAACUUCUCCACAGAAAUCUGAAACUAAAUUUGUAAAAACAGCAAAUACAAUUAAGGGAACCAUGUACAUGUGACCAUUACGUAUUUAAAUAAACAUUGUCAUAAAACUAACCAUAAAAAAAAAAAAUCAAAAAACAGAAAUUUUAAAAUCGAAACAUUUGAAAACCCACACAAUCAACAUCCCAAUCUAUGGUGUACAUCCUAUACUUCAAACGAAGGCGGUUGAUAGUUCUGUAAAAUUAUGUGGAUGGGUUACGGCUCAAAGGUCCUACAAAAAAAAGAAGCAAAACACCAUGUUAGAAAUAUUAACGGAAAAACAUGUUGUACAAAAGAAACGAAAAUAGGGAAGGCAUCCUAAUGAUGACAGAUGUUAUAUACCUGUGAGGCAAUGGUAGGAGAGCAAUGCACCGAGAGGACGAU